CAGGCUCGGCCACCAAGCCGCGCUCCCAUUGGCUGAGGGGGCGGUGAAGCGGCGAGGCGGGAGCGUGCUGAGGGGAGGUGGCUGCGGGCUGAGGGGACCCUGAGGGGGCGCUGAGGGGAGCGCGGCUGUGAGGCGCCCAGCGACCCCCAACCGAGUAUGGAGGAGCGUGAGGGGAGCCUCCCGACCCCGAGAAGGAGCUCCCCGUGGAGAUGGGUCCCCUUAGCGCGCGGUGUGGGGAGCUUAUCGCGCAGCAGGCCGAGAGAUAGGGGCAGAAAUCGGGUAAUUGCCGGGGGAGCGAGGCGAUAAGGGGCCUGCCCCGCCCGCCGUGACAGUAUCGGCUUGCAGCAAGUCAGGAUCGAUGCAGGUGCACGGUGAGAGCAGGCAAGCUGCAUUACCGGAGAGAAAUCUAUCAAAACCUGAGGUUCCUGAACUGCCUCCUGCCCAGAUGCCGGGAAGUCAGUGCUGGUGCAGAAGCAAAGGAAAGCCCUGUUCCUGUGGAAUAGACUGUUCUUCUUUCUGUGCUCCUGGGGUGUCCUGAAGGCUCGCUACUGGCCUUCAAUUGCAAAACUCUGGCCAUGCCAAAAAGCUUCCAAGGUCAGAAUUUAAGUGCACAUCAGCCUUCCACUACAGGAACCAGCUGGAUCCAGGUUGUACAUCGAGGGAGUUAAUAUGAUGUGACUGUUAAAAAGCAAAGCACUCACUCAAAGAAGGGUUAGACGCUUUUAACCUCUUUUUUUUUUCUUUUCCCGUGUAUGGCCAGAGAUCUAAUCCUGCAAACAAUAAUUACUCUCAUUUCUGUACAAAACAACUUCAUUUGAGUUAUGUGGAAGUAAAACUGCAUUAAAAACAAUUCUUAUGCGGCCAUGCGUGUCAUGAACCUGAGAGGCUGGAUUAAUUGCUUCCCUAGUAAAUAUAUCCUAAGGAAUGAGGUACAGAUGGGAGAUAGUAAUGACUAUCCUGUGUUUAAGAUACAGGAGUGGAAAUCCUGAGGGAGUAGAUUUGGGGGUUGACUGUGCUACAAGACUUGCUACAGACCCUAAGCUCACUGAUCUUUAGUACUUAGCAAACUGAAGUGCUACAGUGAACUCAAAUGCUAUCUAGUCUGUGAAAGUUUUAGUAGCAUUUAUUAUGUGGUAUUUAAGAGGUACAUUGAGGUUUGUUUGUUUCAUACAAGAACCUAUUUAAGAGGCUGUAAUCGUGGUCAUCUCAAGUGCUCCUAUUGCUCAAAAAAAAAUACUGCAAGAAGUUGACUGCUUAGUAAGACACAAACUAUUAUAUCACAUACUUUGCUGCUGCUAGGUGAAGUACUUAAUGUUCAGAACACCUCUUUAGUACUUCAUGAUAUCAAGAAUUUAAGUUCUCAGAUGUCUAAUGUUAUGUAAAUUCUACCUCAAAGUAGGUUUUUUUAAGAGUAAUUUAAACACACGAAUAUAAAAUACAAUUAAUUUUGUCAUCAUCGAGGUUAAAAGACAUUCAGAUGAGUAAUUUUGCUAAAGAACAUUGCUACUUAUGUAAGAAACAUGAGCCAAGAGAUGUCUUAAGCUUCAAAGACCUGGCUCAUCAAGUUUCUGCCUGAAGUUAAGCUUUAAUCUCUAGCUUCUAUCCAAAGUCACUUAGGAAUGAUUUCUACCCAACUGCCUUCUAUACGCAUUUUGUAGCUGUGUUCCUGGUGCUGGGGCUCCUUCAUGGAACAGGCUGACCAGCAGAUGUCACCAAAUUCAAACUAAUCACACUCAAAGCUUCAGAAAUCUUCAGUCCUUUUGAGCUUCCCCAAAGCAUGAGGAACCCGAGGGCACGAAUACUCUCAUUGCUUAUUUACAUGCUUGUACAAACUGUUAUGUUCUGAGCUAGGAGAUGGGCGCCAAGCUGCUGACACAGGGCAGCAGUAUGUAGCACCUGCAUUUUCAUAGAAAAAUUCUUGAUAUCAGAUUCCCUUUUAUUGUCCCUAUGAUUAUGCUACAUUGAUUGACGGUUCCUUGUUUAAAACUGUAUUUUCCAAACCACAUUAAUUUUUUUCCCCUGGAAAAGUAACUCCCCCACAAAUACCACUUAAAAAACUUUCUUGGAAGUUUACAAAGAAAAGGCAAGACUUUUUCAAAACUAGUAUAAACUAUUUUGACUUGCAUGUUACCAAACUCACAAACUGAAUUUCUUGGCAUGACCAAAUACUGCUCUUAUGCUCCUCCCCAAACUAUUUUAAAGAUAUGGAGCUUGCA